rnacentral:rRNA from 1 species
CCUACGGGAGGCAGCAGUGAGGAAUAUUGGUCAAUGGUCGGAAGCCUGAACCAGCCAAGUCGCGUGAGGGAGUAAGGCCCUACGGGUCGUAAACCUCUUUUGCCGGGGAGCAGUGCCCAGCUCGUGAGCUGGGAGGGAGCGUACCCGGAGAAAAAGCAUGGGCUAACCCGGUCCCAGCAGCCGCGGUAAUACGGGGGAUGCGAGCGUUAUCCGGAUUUAUUGGGUUUAAAGGGUGCGUAGGCGGGCCUUCAGGCCGGCGGUAAAAUUGCGGGGCUAAACCCCGCCGAGCCGUUGGAACCGGGGGCCUUGAGUACCGGAGAAGGACGCGGAAUGCGGGGUGUAGCGGUGAAAUGCAUAGAUAUCACGCAGAACCCCGAUUGCGAAGGCAGCGUACCGGCCGGUCACUGACGCUGAGGCACGAAAGCGCGGGUAUCGAACAGGAUUAGAUACCCCAGUAGUC